rnacentral:ncRNA from 7 species
UAGCACCAUCUGAAAUCGGUU